rnacentral:rRNA from 1 species
GACGAACGCUGGCGGCGCGCCUAACACAUGCAAGUCGAACGAGCAAAGAGGAGCUUGCUUCUCUGAGCGUGUGGCGAACGGGUGAGUAACGCGUGAGGAACCUGCCUCAAAGAGGGGGACAACAGUUGGAAACGACUGCUAAUACCGCAUAAGCCCACGGGUCGACAUCGACCAGAGGGAAAAGGAGUGAUCCGCUUUGAGAUGGCCUCGCGUCCGAUUAGCUAGUUGGUGAGGUAACGGCCCACCAAGGCGACGAUCGGUAGCCGGACUGAGAGGUUGAACGGCCACAUUGGGACUGAGACACGGCCCAGACUCCUACGGGAGGCAGCAGUGGGGAAUAUUGCACAAUGGGGGAAACCCUGAUGCAGCGACGCCGCGUGGAGGAAGAAGGUCUUCGGAUUGUAAACUCCUGUUGUUGAGGAAGAUAAUGACGGUACUCAACAAGGAAGUGACGGCUAACUACGUGCCAGCAGCCGCGGUAAAACGUAGGUCACAAGCGAUGUCCGGAAUUACUGGGUGUAAAGGGAGCGCAGGCGGGAAGACAAGUUGGAAGUGAAAUCCAUGGGCUCAACCCAUGAACUGCUUUCAAAACUGUUUUUCUUGAGUAGUGCAGAGGUAGGCGGAAUUCCCGGUGUAGCGGUGGA